ACGCUUGAAGUCAGUCGCGUCGACCGAGACUCAGCCUUGCCUUGGCUUGGUGUACUUCUCGGCUGACGGGUCAGCAUCAAUUUUGCCCCUUGGAUAAUGGUGAGGGAAAUGUGACACCUUUUAUGGUGUGUUAUAGUCUCUCGUCGCAUGCAAGGGUUGGGAUUGAGGAACUCAGCACGCACCUUUGGGUGUCGGGGCUCUGCUCACGAUACGUGCUUAGGAUGUUGGCGUAAUGGCUUUAAACGACCCGUCUUGAAACACGGACCAAGGAGUC
rnacentral:rRNA from 1 species